AACGAACGCUGGCGGCAUGCCUAACACAUGCAAGUCGAACGAAUCCUUCGGGGUUAGUGGCGCACGGGUGCGUAACGCGUGGGAACCUGCCUUUAGGUUCGGAAUAACUCAGAGAAAUUUGAGCUAAUACCGGAUAAUGUCUUCGGACCAAAGAUUUAUCGCCUUUAGAUGGGCCCGCGUUAGAUUAGAUAGUUGGUGGGGUAAUGGCCUACCAAGUCGACGAUCUAUAGCUGGUCUGAGAGGAUGAUCAGCCACACUGGGACUGAGACACGGCCCAGACUCCU
rnacentral:rRNA from 1 species